UCACCCUACGGGAGGCAGCAGUAGGGAAUCUUCCACAAUGGACGAAAGUCUGAUGGAGCAACGCCGCGUGAGUGAAGAAGGGUUUCGGCUCGUAAAGCUCUGUUGGUAGUGAAGAAAGAUAGAGGUAGUAACUGGCCUUUAUUUGACGGUAAUUUCUUAGAAAGUCACGGCUAACUUCGUGCCAGCAGCCGCGGUAAUACGGAGGUGGCAAGCGUUGUGCGGAUUUAUUGGGCGUAAA
rnacentral:rRNA from 1 species